rnacentral:lncRNA from 1 species
CUGGUAUGUAUGUUGUUACAGGGUGGUUAACUUCGCCAGCGGCCCCCUUUCCCGGGGCAGUCCCUGCUCUCCCCUGCUAGAGGGGCACCCUAAUCCGUCACCCCAUCCGACUUCAGAAUGUAUUCGUUGGGUUCGGCAACUCACCACCAGCAUCCAACCAAAUCUAGCGGAUCAACGGCGCAUCAACUUAGUUCCUGGUCAGCUCGCAAGUUGAUAUUAUCACGUCCUACACCGUCCAUAAGAUGGGGGGCCACCUCCCAUUUCAUCACUCCUCAAACACCCGAGGAGCCGGCAGGCGGAUUUGAACCCGGGUCGACUGGGUCAACUGGGAGCAGAAGUCAGGCCUUAACCUCUGCCAGCCGCCUGCCUUCUGGUAUAUAUGACACAAGUUAUGCAAGUCUUGGUAUCUCCUUGCCUCCUUCAUAUUCUUAACAGGUUAUGAGCCCCGCCUCCAGGUACUCAUUUAUUGCCGUGUCGUUGGGUGUAUAAGGUUAAGUACAACGAUGACGGCAGCGUGGAGCGUUUUAAGGCGCGAUUGGUUGCGAAGGGUUUCGAGCAACACGAGGGGAUUGAUUAUGGGGAGUGUUUGCCCCUACCUCUCGUGGUUNNNNNNNNNNNNNNNNNNNNNNNNNNNNNNNNNNNNNNNNNNNNNNNNNNGGCGCUAGCGGAAAACUCGUACAUUCCGCGAUCUAACUGCACGUACAUUCCGCGAUCUCACUGCGCCGUCCAGACGGUGCCCUAAUGUCUAUCACUUAGCUACCGGAUAUGCAUCGGUAGCCCCAUAAGGUUCUGGGGUAAGUCUUCCCCAUUAGUCAGGCGCAGACCCGGGGUCAAAUCCCCUGGUCGACAACCACACGAGUUGGGAGAGGGCCGUUUCCUCAACAGAAACACAUCGACGUGCAGCACCACAUAGUGCGUGAGUGGGUGAAUAGCGGGGAGGUGCAGUUUGAGUACUGCCCUACAGAGUUGAUGGUAGUGGAUGCGCUCACGAAGGCACUGGGAGAAGUGAAGUUCAAACGGUGCAGAGAAGCUAUGGGUGUUGUGUGCAGUCCCCAUUGGUCGAGCAAAUGUGCUACUGCGAGUUGGGAUAUGUCCCGAGGGGGCGUGUUGAAGGGCGGUCCUAUCCCAACAUAGAUAGGUGGUAGUUAGGCGAUGAAUCCGUGAUAGGCGAUGCCUCGGACGUGCCUCGACCUUGCCUCGGCCGUGCCUCGACCUUGCCUCGGCCGUGCCUCGACCUUGCCUCGGGUCUCUCGGCCGCGUAUCUCUGACGUGUCCUCUGGUCCAGGGAUGGUGGACGACUGUACGAUACUUCCGUUGGUAUCGGUACAUAAGGCGAGAGUUAAGCAAGUCUUUCUUUCUCAUGUUAGGGGAUAAAUCGGUAUUCCUUAACAGGAAUCUCCUAAAGUCUUCUUGCCGUUCACCAUUAACCCACAGACUGUAACCCUUAUAUCGCGACCAGUCUCCUUGCCUUCAUAUUCUUAACACGCCGUCGACCAUCUUAAAACGGCUGAAUUCUUGACGUAGAGCCACCUUGCGGGCGUUGUUGUUGGCAGCAAACAUAGAGCCCAAGGCGUCCCAGGCCUUCUUCGCGUUGGCAGCACCGGUGACCAUCGGCAAGUGGUGAUUCUUCACGUUCUUGUUAAGCAGAUUGAUGACCUUCCGUGAUUGACGAAUCUGCUCCUCGUUGCACGGCUCGGCGAGCAAGGACUGCUCAAGCCCAAGCUCCAUGCACAUCGUGCUAAACCGGAUUUGCCACGUGGAGUAGUUGUGGAGGUCCAGCGGGUCAUCAAGCGUAUCCUUGACCAUUGUCGGUAAGGGAUAGAAAUAACAAUCGGACGAUAGCUGUCGGCGCUAGACGGGGCUUAUAACCUAUUGGAGAAUUGGCGACGGUGACGGCUAACGCUGAUUGUUAUCUCGGAAGGAAUGCCGGCGGCGAAGAUAUUUAAGCAGCCUCUCGCACAAAUGUGUCCGGUCGUACUUCGCGAAUAAAGAGUUCGUACAUGUCGCCCCAAAAGCCAGGAGCGAUUUUCACCGCGCGGGUGCACGCGUUCGAUUCACAAAUUGCGCGUGUGCAAGUGUAUAAAAUUCUCUCGGCGAAAGGCCGCUCAUCAGGGCAUGUUGGCCGCAGUCACAAGCGGCAUGCAUCUCGGACUUUUGGCUGGCUGCUUAGCCUGAGCUGAAAAAGAUAUGAAAGCAAACAACGUAGCUUGCAAGACUGGGCGCUUGAAACGGCCGCGGAAGAGGAAGCGUUUGGCGAAGCGGCAGUUUGCGCAAGCAAACGAGUUGCGCCAGCGUGUUGCGCAGGUGGGCACGAUGGGCAUAGUCGCACGCGGCAUGCAGCCUAGUCUAUUGCGUGGCUGCUUUGCAGUAACUGAAAGCACCGAAAGCCUACGUCGUAGCUUGCAACACUGGGCUCGUGAAACUGCCGCGGGAAGAGGAAGCGUCUGGCGAAGAGGCAGUCGUGUGCAAGCCAAAAGGCGCCUGCUUUCUGCAGCGCAGCGCAUACAGCACCUUGUUCCGACUCAAGUCAAAUUACAAAGUUGCGCAAAGUAUAACAUACAUAAACUUAAUUAAACAUAAGAACAGAUAAGAUGUUUAGAGCCUUGUCGGUGACAUGGACGCCGCUGUUGGCUUGGAACAGCUAUUUGCUGUGCAUAGGGACGUGCCCGCGUUAGCUGUGUUGCAACAGCUCAGGAUGGAUUUCAGCCAACAAAGCCUCAAGAGCUGCUGCACAACCACCGGUGUGUCUUCAGCUGGACACGUGUAGUUUUGGUCGGCGGGGUCGAGCAUCGUAUGCAUUGCGCACAGAAACCAAGGUGCAGCAUCUCUGUAACAUCGCCAACAUAUCCGGUACGCGGUGGCAGGCUUGCCGAGCACGAAAUGACGGAAGGUCUCAUCUCACCAUUCAACUAAGCAUGCAUGUGCUCGGUUGAAUGCUCGGUAGCAUGCGAGUUUACCUAUCAGGAUGUUUGUUUGCAUAUAUCCCUCCAAGCGAAAGGGCUUGGACCUAUGCUGAUGUUCGUUACAAGAAGUGAACUGAGGACUAAUGCUACACGUCAUGUAUACGCGUUGCUUAGCUUGCAACGAGGCGCGCCCACGAUGAAAGCUUCAGCUACGCUCACAAUACAUUAUACUGCUACACUAUUCUCUCCAGUCCUACCACAUUAUAUUUCACCGACGUACUUUGCCACCUUCCACAUCACCAUACGUGCUUUGGAAACGCGGGCAGCUGCUUCACAAGGGCCCCCAUAUUUAGCACGAUAAAAUGUUAUAAGUUAUGUAAAGAGUAUUAUUAGCGUUCGGCAGGACUUGAGGAGAUUCCUUUGAGGAAUACCGAUCGUUGUGAGAUAAACAAAUAAGCGCAGUCACCGCCCUAAAUACCGGCGCUAGCGGAAAACUCGUACAUUCCACGAUCUACCUGCACGUACAUUCCGCGAUCUCACUGCGCCGUCCUGACGGUGCCCUAAUGUCUAUCACUUAGCUACCGGAUAUGCAUCGGUAGCCCCAUAAAGUUCUGGGGUAAGACUUCCCCUAUAGUUAGUCACAGACCCGGGGUCAAAACCCCUAGUCAACAACCACACGAGUUGGGAGAGGACCGUUCCCUCAACAAAAUUCACACCCUGAUGUGGAAAUGCUGGGGGUUCGGUAUUCAGUCAAGGAACACAAACGUCCUGGCGAGUGGUGACGAAAUGAAUGCGGUCGUACUCUCACAGGCCGAGUCAAUGCUGCAAUAUAUCUGCUUGGACAAACUUGUAUGCCGAAGCAGUCCCAGGUCCACAUGCAGACGACUGGCGGCAGUGAGUGCCGCGAACAUUCUGAAUCCGGUAGACCCCGCUGGACACCGUGGAUUGCAGCAGGCGAUCAUUUGCUGCAACUACAAACAGACGGGCCGUAUAGCUUGGAGUUGCAAAGAGAGCCGCAGCCUAACGUGCAGGGAAGGAGUGGAGGUGGUCUUGGCGACCACACGUGGCAGGUGGGGUAGCAUGCCUCAACAGACAGGCGGUGGCAGCAGUGCAGUGAUGCCGUGUAUUUUUGCUGCAAGAUAAGAACCACUAUUAAGGUUAAGGGGAAUUGUGUGACUCCGAAGCGGCUAGUAUUGGUGUACCUGAGUCUGUUGGAACUGACCGACACUCAUAUACCAGUGAAUGAUAGCCACACUCAUAUACCAGUGAAUGGUAGUCACAGUGAAUGGUAGCCACAGUAAUAGGACCCAGUAUGAUACCAGUGAAUGGUAGCCACAGUAAUAGGACCCAACGGGGGUCCGGCACUCUGCUGGUCUUAACAGAGUCAGGGCCUCUGUCAAGCUCCGUUAGACUUAGGAAACACAGUCGGCUAGGCACCACUGUCACCUGUGCAUGGUGAAGGAAUGCCGGAAGAAGCCGGAACAACCGGUGCAAGCCAGCGCAGGAGUAAGAGGGCAGGGAAUGUGAGGAUAUAUUGUGGCCUUCGGAGCGGUAGUGUUGAAGGGCGGUCCUAUCCCAACGUAGAUAGCUGUUAGUUAGGCGAUGAUAGGCGAUGCCUCGAACGUGCCUCGACCUUGCCUCGGCCGUGCCUAGACCUUGCCUCGGCCAUGCCUCGACUUGCCUCGGCCGUACCUCGACCUUGCCUCGGGUCUCUCGGCCGCGUAUCUCGGAUGUGUCCUCGUGCCCAGCAUUGAUGGUGGGCGACUGUACGAUACUUCCAUUGGUACUGGUAUAUAUGACACAAGUUAUGCAAGUCUUGGUAUCUCCUUGCCUCCUUCAUAUUCUUAACAGGUUAUGAGCCCCGCCUCCAGGUACUCAUUUAUUGCCGUGUCGUUGGGUGUAUAAGGUUAAGUACAACGAUGACGGCAGCGUGGAGCGUUUUAAGGCGCGAUUGGUUGCGAAGGGUUUCGAGCAACACGAGGGGAUUGAUUAUGGGGAGUUGUUUGCCCCUACCUCUCGUGGUUCGUCAUUACGUGCUUUAUUAGCAGUUGCCGCGAAAAUUCUGUAUCUGGUUGACCCAACUGGACAGCGUGGAUUGCAGCAGGCGAUCAUUUGCUACAACUACCAGCAGACGGGCCGUAUAGCUCGGAGUUGCAGAGAGCCGCAGCCUUACGUGCAGAGAAUGAGUGGAGGUGGUCUUGGCGACCACACGUGGCAGGUGGGGUAGCAUGCCUCAACAGACAGGCGGUAACGGCAGUGCAGUGAUGCCGUGUAUUUUUUUGCUGCAAGAUAAGAACCACUAUGAAUUGUCUGACUCCGAAUCGGCUAGUAUUGGUGUACCUGAGUCAGGGCCUCUGCCAAGCUCCGUUAGACUUAGGAAACACAGUCGGCUGGGCACCACUGUCACCUGUGGAUGGUGAAGGAAUGCCGGAUGAAGCCGAAGCAUCUAGUGGUGCAAGCCAGCACAGGAGUUCAGAAGAAUAGGGCAGGGAAUAUGAGGAGAUAUUAUAGCCCUCGGGGUGGUGAUAUGGUGUUGCAGGAAGGAGGAUAGUAGGUUGCAUUAACGUGGCUGUCACUGAUCCGUACGUACCCUGCUGAACUUUUGCUAAGUAAUACUUUCACUGAAGCCAUUUCAGGAGCAGGGGCAAAUGAGUGGCGCAUAGUGAUGGUCAACUGCACUUGUGUGCUGUGUGUACAACCUUAUGCUGUGCAUGUGCCACCUAUGGUGGUUGUACAAGUUGAAAAGAGUGGAAGGUGACACGGUCAAGCGCUUUUUUGCAUGGCUAGGUGCAAAGAUGUACGAGAAGUACGAGAACUUGGAGAAGCGCAGGUGUUUUCGGGCAUGGAAAUACUGAGGAUGAAUUAGUGUUGUCGCAAUAUUGAGCAGCUAUUGGAGCGUCACCAGGCGGUGGACGCCAAGCCACGGUCUACCCCUUUGCCUCCAGGUUUUAGUUGCACACCUACGGGGGAUAGAGAUGAGCUGCUGGGUAUUCCCAUGGUGCAUAGGGCUUUGGUGGGAAAGUUGGACUACCUAGCGACUAACACUCGGCCUGACAUUCCUUAUGCAUGGAGUGUUUUGUCCCGGCUUAUGGCCACACCUAAGAAGAGUGCCAUGAACUUGGCAACUGGUGUUCUACGUUACCUGGCGGGUACUCGCGAACUAGGAUUGCGUUUUGGGGGUGUUGGCGGUGUUGCAAUGUCUGGGUACAGUGAUUCGGACUGGGCAGGAGACCCAGUUACGCAGCGUUCUACGUCCGGUUACGUAUUCACUCUUAAUGGAGCUGCGAUUAGCUGGAGCAGCCAACUUCAACGUACUGUGGCGGCUUCGUCGGUGGAGGCCGAGUACCAAGGUCCAGGUCCUCUCCCAACUCGUGUGGUUGUCGACCAGGGGAUUUGACCCCGGGUCUGCGCCUAACUAACGGGGAAGACUUAACCCAGAACCUUAAGUUAGGCGAUGAUAGGCAAUGCCUCGAACGUGUCUCGACCUUGCCUCGGCCGUGCCUAGACCUUGCCUCGGCCAUACCUCGACUUGCCUCGGCCGUACCUCGACCUUGCCUCGAGUCUCUCGGCCGCGUAUCUCGGACGUGACCUCGGGUCCAGGGAUGGAUCUGUACGAUACUUCCAUUGUUACUGGUCUGGUCUGUACGAUACUUCCAUUGUUACUGGUCUGGUCUGGGUUGACACUACUGCAAUUAGCGGUUUAAGGUCCUAGGUUCGAUUCCUGGGGAUACCCCCGAAUUAGUCGGGAGCGCGAGAUUAUGGCUAGCUGCUGAGAUGUGGAGUUGAGGUCACAGUUGAUGGACCAGAUUCGCACGCUGGAUUGGUGGCGAUUGCCGAACCCUCCGUCUCUUCGGGUGUUCGGGUGAAUGGAUGAGGUGGGGCCCCUGAAGGCUGGAUCCGCCGCCUUGGACUUACAUACAGUUCGUAUGGCGAAGUACAGUGUGGUAGUGGUGGAUGGUGCUAUAAGGUGAUAAAUGAUCUAGAACUGACAAUGUGAUAAAGCGGCCCAGAAGCCUCCCACUCUGUAACAACAUUACAAUUACAAUUACAAUUACAUUGUUACUGGUAUAUAAGACACGAGUUGUGCUAGUCUUAGUAUCUCAUCUUUGUAUGGAUCGCUAUUCCUUAGUAGGAAUCUCCUAAAGUCUUCUUGCCGUUUACCACUCACCCACCGAUUGUAAUACUUAUAUCGCAACCAGUCUCCUUGCCUCCUUCAUAUUCAUAACAAUUAUGGGGAGUUGAUGUUGUUACAGGGUGGUUAAGCUUCACCAGUGGCCUCCUUCCCGAGGCAGUUCCCUGCUCUCCCCUGCUAGAAGGGCACCCUAAGCCAUUCACCCCAUCCGACUUCAGAGUGUACUCUUUGAGUUUGGCAACUCACAACCAGCAUCCAACCAAAUCUAGCGGAUCAACGGCGCAUCAACUUAGUUCCUGGUCAGCUCGCGAGUUGAUUUUACCAUAUCCUACAUCGUCCACAAGAUUGGGGGCCACCUCACAUUUCAUCACCUCUCAAACACCACGAGAGGUCGGCAGGCGGAUUUGAUCCCGGACGCGCCGGACCACGUCGGGAGCAGAAGCCAGGCCUUAACCUCUGCCAGCCGCCUGC